GGCAACAGAAGCAGGAGUGUCACUGGUGCCAGAUCACUGAGGGUCCCACAAUGUGGCUUGGGCUGUGGUUUAUCAGGGAUGAGACAGAGUGAGCCCCCUUCCUGAAUUCCAAGACAGUUCUGCUAAGAGAACCCAGUCUCUACAUACAGGUAACAUACUUUUGUUCACUCACCCUGGAAGAUGUGUCCCAGCUAGUGGGAGGAAGCUGCUAUAGGAAUAGAGGAAGAUACCCAUAUUGUGUUUGGGAUGUCCAGAUCUAUGACACAGUAGCCAGAGGUCCCUGUAUCUGGAGGUGCAGGAAAACCUGGUAUAUGGAGAACAUGGAUUCUACUAGGGACACGGCUCCUAACUCCUAGCUCGCAACUUUAGUGGGGGCAUGUCACUUGUUGAACCUUGGUUUUCCCAUUUGUCAAAAAGACUGGUAACCCUUUCUUCAUGGAUGUGUGUAGGGAUUAAAUAAACUGG
rnacentral:lncRNA from 1 species